GAAGAAAGCUGAGAGCUCUGGAAUAGGCGGGAGAACGGGUCGCUGCGUUCAUUCACCAGAGAGCGGGAAUGUGGUGGUUAUAUAUCACCUUAUAAAACUGAGAAAAGUCACCUGCGGAGAGGGGAUACGUUUUUCUAACACGGUAUAUAUCGGCCCAACAGGCCAACAACAACCUGUACAAUAGGGCUAGUGAUCAUCUCACAAACAAGCAAACAAUCGGAUGAAUUCAGGAAAGGGCUGCAUGACUGAUCAAACCUCAAAGGGGAAUUAUUGAAUGUUACACUUCAAAUUGAUGCAAGCAACAUUAAUAAACCAGACACAUCAUCUGAGUCCAGAGUGCAGAUGUAAACAGAGCAUUACCUGCAGUAUUGAUGUGACAUCUGACACCAUCAUCAACUCUGAAAACAAAACCAGUUAUAUUAGAAGUAAAAAGAACUACCAUGUUCGAAAUCUUGAAAAUUGAUUGUUGUGCUGAUAUAGUUAAUAAAUAAACAUAUUUAUUAGAAAGUGGGUGUAUACAUGUUAACAUUAUGUCAGAAUACACUACAGAAUUACCUACAUUUAUUGAGAGUAAAAAUAGUUCUGGCAAUUUUCACCAAAUUUCUUUUUUAGGCCUGUUUCACACGAAUGUUUUGGUAUUUGUCCGUAACACAAUUAAAAUUCUAUGAGUUUUGCAUCAGUAUUUCUGUACAAUCAAUACUGAUGGGCUGUUUUCUUGGCAGGAAACUAAACUACGAUUUUUACAAAAUUAUGCAAAUUAGAUGAAAUACAGAGCAAAUAAGGAACACAUACAGAUCCAUCUGUAUUUUAUUCCCUCUGCAUUUUUCCAUCUGCAAAAUGGAUGAUAGUAGCACAUAUGGGUUUUAUACACCCAUGUGAAUAGCCCUACAGAUUAACAUUGGUAUCAGUGUCCUAAUGUCCUACAUUUUCUAUCACAAUAAUCAGCAUCAUGAUGACCCGCACCCUUCAUAGGAAAAGCAGUAAGCGGACUAAUAAACAUUGAUUUAUUUUUUUAUUUAUUAGUCUAGUGUCCAAUGUGAGUAAGAAAAAGGCAAAAAAAGAGAAAAGACGGUUGGUCACAAGGGCUAUCAGUUAGCCACAUGCACAAAAAAGGCAUCAAGGAGUGUUGCCGACCAUCAAUUUAACACAUGAUACAACAUUUGACAAAAUAAACAAGUAAAAAGACAAACAUUUGUAGUUCUAGUUUAGUUCGCAGUCAGGGCGCUCUUAAACGUUGUGUUAAUGGUGGUGGCUAGAACUUGUGAGUAACCAAUAAUUACGGACUGUACCGGGACUUGCCACUGUUUAUAGCAUCAAGUCCAGAUGCCACCUGCAGAUGAUCAGAGCUAGCCCUGGCCACUAAUGCAGCAUGUAAGAGUGCCCUCAAGGUAUAGCACAUAUAGGAAAUACAUGUCCAGAUUUGUCUCUGAUAAAAAGUAUCUUUUAGAAAUGUUGGAAAAACUUGUUGGCAUGAAUAUACUUACAUACAUUUAAUAUAUACAAUACCCUUUAGAAAAUGUUGCUGGCUGUAAAACGGUCAGUAUUCUAUGUAACUGGGAUUUUUAUUCAGUUCAUUAUGACAGUUUGCACGGUUUGUACAUCAACAUGUAUUAAUCCCAUCCAUGACAGAAUGUAACAUUUACACAGCAAUGACAGUGGCAAAAAAGGAGAACGAGCCUUUUGUAUGUUAUCACAUUAUUACAUAGUUUCAAGCAAUAGUACACUCCAAAGUGUCUGAGAUUAGAUGGCAUUUGCCAAUUCACCAAUACAAACAUAUAAUCACAUAAUUACGGUUCAGACACAUAAUAGUGAGACUAUGCCAACGUUGUAUUAGUAAAAAGAGGUGCCAGGUCAGUACCUCCAUUAUCUCUGUUAGGGGUUAUCUUAGCAGCAUUAAGAAAGCUAACAAACAGCAUGCUAGCAAUGUGCAGAAUGUACUUCAAUAUGCAUGAACCAUAUAGAUCGGUUUCAUAGUAAGGCAGCUUUCUCAUCAAUAAGAAAUAUGAGCACCUUCCUACUCUGGGUGGAUGCUCCCGAGGACAGCUGCUAGCACCAUGGUUACAGUAAACAUUACAAGAGUGCUUUUUGCAAAGGUGCGUGGGAGACGUUCCACCAGCAGCAGCAUUUGAUCCAAUACUUAGUAAACACUCAAUAUUAAUAAAGGUACAAUAAUAAAAUAUAUAUCAAAGAUACAUAACCUAGACAGUGUAAUAUACCCAACCUAUCCACAACUGAGCUAUGGAACACUGUGAAUCAACUGCAAAAAAGCUAUAGGAGUAAAUCAACAUAGACCAUAACCAACCUACACAUAAAGGAUAUCUGCAUCAAGCAAAUAAGUGUGGAAUCAAAACUUUCCUCCCAAAAAUGUCCUUACUUGGAUUGACUAGUACGUUCUUGUUCAGGGAUAUUUUUAUGUAAACGUUGCUUCUAUAGAAUACUGGCUACUGACACACUCAAAACUUUACACUGUGUUUCUAAGCAGCAAUGAACAAUCGGAAAGACUGCUUUGCACUAUGGUUAUCUCUAUAAUGCUUUGAUUUGACUGAAAAAUAUUUCCUUAUAAAAACCGCACCUUAUCAAUAUGUGCAGACACAAAGUGGGGCAAACAAUCCCUUUGCUGAUUCUAGUUGGUUGCUAGUUAUCUAGUUCUGUUUGUACUCCUUUUAAUACAUGAGGUCCCAUAUGCUGUGCUCAAAAGAGACAGCUGCUGCUUUGGCUAGUUAAUCUACACCCAGAAUAUUCUCACUGCUAUUCUAACUUCUCAUUCACACUCUUUUGAAUUUCCCCAGCUCUUACUCUUCCUGCCAUCUCAAUAGGAAUUCUGUAGUUUUUAACCCCUUAAGGACUUAGUAUGAGUUCGUCCUAAGUCCGGUCCCUGUCUAUAACGCGGGGUCCCAGCGGGAUGGUCCCGGCGCCUAUUCACAGCCGGGACCCGCAGCUAAUAGCGCGCGGCCGCGAUCGUUCAGCCACGCGCUAUUAACCCUUCCGAUGCGGCGCACAAAGCUGAGUGCCGCAUGGAAAGUGAAACUAAAUGCUUCCCGGCUGCUCAGUCGGACUGAUCAGGAUCAUCGCGAUAAAAUCGCGAGGCCCCAAUCAGCUACCCGGAGUGAAGAAGGUCUCUUACCUUCUCUGGCGGCAUCCGGGCUCCGAUUGUUUACUCCCUGCCUGAGUUACAGGCUGGAGCAAUCAAUCACCGAUUUCACUGAUGGUUGUCAUGCAACGGCAAGGCAGCAGUCUGUGAAUGAACUCAGCAAUUGCAAGCUGAUAGGUCUCUAUGGCACCUAUCAGCUUGCAAAAAAAAAAAGUGUAAAAAAAAAAGUUAACCCUUUCAGGUAUUCCCUUCUGAAUUAAAAGUUUGAAUCACCCGGCAUUUCCUAGUAACAAAAUAAAACAGUGUAAAUAAAAAUACAAAUAUGUGGUAUCACCGCGUGAAAUGUCCGAAUUAUAAAAAUAUACCGCUUUUUACACCGCACGUUCAAUGACGUAGGGCGCAAAAAAAUUCCAAAGUCCAAAAUAGCGCAUUUUUGAUCACUUUUUAUACCACAAAAAAGUGAAUAAAAAGUGAUCAAAAAGUCUGAUCAGAACAAAAUUGGUACUGCUAAAAACUUCAGAUCACGGCGCAUAAAAUGACAAUUUUAAACGUAUACAUUUUCCUGCAUGUAUUUAUGAUUUUUUUCUGAAGUAAUGCACAAUCAAACCUAUACAAGUAGGGUAUCAUUUUAACCGUAUGGACCUACAGAAUAAACAUAAGAUAAAAUUAACAAAAUGGCAUUUUUUUUCCAAGUUUGUCGCACAAUUAAUUUUUUUUCCGUUUCGCCGUGGAUUUUUCGGUAAAAUGACUAAUGUCAUUGUAAAAUAGAACUGGUAACGCAAAAAAUAAGCCAUAACACAGAUAAUUUUUUGGUGUAAAAUUGAAAGGGUUAUGAUUUUUUAAAGGCAAGGAGGAAAAAACUAAAAUGCAAAAACGUGAAAUCGCUCAGUUCUUAAGGGGUUAAUGUACGUUCAUUUUAUGUAUAAGCCAACUUUACGGUAUUGUAUAAACGAAUGACAAUCCACAAAAAUAGUACACAAAAUAUUGUUUUGUCUCUUAUGAUUGUAAAGUUCUUUGCAAAAAGUUGCUCAUUCUGCACAGUUUUUAACUAGUGAAUAUCAUGCACAAGAAUGAACUGCAUGUAACAGUCGGGUUACGGGUCCAUAGACAAUAAAGCCACAGUGUCUUCGGCUUCACUGUAUGCAAAAGUUACUAAAAAAGAAUGCUGAAAAUGAAGGACUUCUACUUCUCCUCCUGGCUUUGGCUCAUAAACCACAUCUAAAGCUGCAAUGCCCCCCCCCCCCUCAAAUAAAAAGACGUUAUGUGUGUGUGUGAAGCAACCCUACAAUUAUUAACACACACAUUUAGCAACCUUGAAUAAAAACCUUAGCGAAAUACCAAAGUUUCUUCUCCAAUGCCUAACCCAUCUGGCAAUGAAGCAUUAAUAGAUAUGCAUUGAUAGGCAAUGCUAUAUAGCUAUAUUCCUCUCCUCUCUAAUAGUAAUGAACCACUAACUACUACAUUUGAUAUAUACAUGUAUUUAUUUUUCUUUUUAUAAAUCUUUAAUAGUUUAUAAUACACAGAAUACUGCAGACUUCUAACAAUUACACUAAACUCUUAAAAAACAUAGCUUUAAAUAAUAACAUUAAAAUCUUAAAAGGGGUAGUCCAGUGGUGAAAAACUUAAGGAUAGGGGAUAGGUUUCAGAUCGCGGGGGAUCCGACCGCUGGGGCCCCCCUGCGAUCUCUCUGUACAGUGCCCCGGCUCACUGGCCAGACACGCCCCCUCAAUACAACUCCAUGGCAGAGCCAGAGAUUGCCGAAGGCAGCGCUCCAGCUCUGCCAUAGAAUUGUAUUGAGGGGGCUGUGUCAGCCGCCGCUUCAUGCGGUGGUCAACACACCCGCUUCUCGCGGGCUGUUGCGGCCCCAUACAGGAGAUCACGGGGGGCCCCAGCGGUUGGAUCACCCGCGAACUUAAACUUAUCCCCUAUCCUUAGGCUAGGGUAUAAGUUUUUUACCACUGGAUAUCUCCUUUAAUUGUAAAAACAUCUUAUUCUCAACAUCAUUAACACAAAAUACAAGUGUGCAUGAAUUACAGAGCACAGGAGAAUAAUAAUCAUAAAAUAAGAAAAAAAUAGUGAUCCCAAGGUCCUUUUGUGUAAUAUUAAAGAUAGAUAUACAGUCAAUAUAUAAACAUACACAAAUAAACAAUCCAAGUAUCACAAAGAAUAGAUAAAAUUGGGACACUUACAUAUCAGAUGAACCCUUAAUUUUUCUUAUUUUAUGAUUAUUAUUAUCCUGUGCUCUUUGUAAUUAGGAUUUUAAUGUUCUUAUUAAAAGCUAUGUUUUAAUAAGGGUUUAGUGUAAUUCUUAGUAAGCUUUGUUUGUGAUCCUAACCCAUUGAUGUGUUAGAUAUAAUUUUAUUUGAUAAGCAUAUCCUACAUCCAGCCCUCUAAACAACAAACUGACACCCCUGUUUAAGACCGGACUAUAGGCGCAGAUCUGUGUGAACAGGUACAAAUGUCCAGUUAUUCUAACCAACAAUAUGUAUUUGUGGUUUCUAUAGCAGCCAAACAAAUAAAUAUAAGACUCGUAUAAAAUGGCUCUGGCAUACACUUAAAUUUACAAAAAUACUCUUAUUUUAAGAAACUUGACUAAUAGGCAAUACCGUCAGUAAAGCAUAUCCUCUAAAUAUAGUAGAAGCUACUACACUUAAGUCACAUUGUAAAAAGGACACUUGUUGAUAACAUCAGCAUUACAUCUAAGUACAUAUUGCCGCCCCCAAUUGAGUUUAUUAAAGUUAAAGAUAUUAUUAACUCUAGGACAUGAUGCAGCAAAUCUGUUGUGGUAUCUGCAGCAUAUCCUUGGAUUUCUGCCUUAAAGGCGUACUCCGGUGCUUACACAUCUUCUUCCCUAUCCAAAGGAUAAGGGAUAAGAUGCCUGAUCGCGGGAGUCCCGCAGCUGGGGACGCCCGCGAUCAUGCACAC